rnacentral:rRNA from 1 species
GAUGAACGCUAGCUACAGGCUUAACACAUGCAAGUCGAGGGGCAGCACGGAGAUAGCUUGCUAUCUUGGGUGGCGACCGGCGCACGGGUGGGUAACGCGUAUCCAACCUGCCCAUUACUCUGGGAUAGCCUUGCGAAAGUAAGAUUAAUACCGGAUGUUGUUAAAAACCCGCAUGAGUUUUUAACCAAAGAUUUAUUGGUAAUGGAUGGGGAUGCGUGACAUUAGGUAGUUGGUGAGGUAACGGCUCACCAAGCCUACGAUGUCUAGGGGUUCUGAGAGGAAGGUCCCCCACACUGGAACUGAGACACGGUCCAGACUCCUACGGGAGGCAGCAGUGAGGAAUAUUGGUCAAUGGACGAGAGUCUGAACCAGCCAAGUAGCGUGCAGGACGACGGCCCUCUGGGUUGUAAACUGCUUUUAGUUGGGAAUAAAAAGAGGGACGUGUCCCUAAUUGUAUGUACCAUCAGAAAAAGGACCGGCUAAUUCCGUGCCAGCAGCCGCAGUAACAC